UGCUGGCAUCUCGCCCACCUACUCCAGCCGAAGCCAUCGUGUCGACCUCGAUUCUUCUACCUACUUUUUCCUCGAAGAUUGCUUCUACACUGGGCUUCUGAACUGGCCACACUUGAACGACACCUUUAAUUAAUUUCGCGUCUUCUCGGACAUGGCAUGCACAUUCUCUUGGACUUGGACACUUGAGACUACAUGUUAAAAAAAAAUCAGCUUUUUAUUGCAUUUCGCAGAUACUGACUAGAUUUUGGCUUCGACCUGGCGCCUUGACUGCCAUUCAACUCCCGUGAUAUUCCCCGGAGGGAUGUAAUAAAAGCAGCUGAUCCGGCUGGAGUUGGAAAUGGGGUGGGUGAAAGGGGUUCAACGUGCACAGAAUUUUGGCGUCAACGGCGACGAGACAUUCGAGGGAGAUCCCGAAGGGUGACACACUUUCAUUCAUAAAACCUCGCACUGGCAGCGUCCUUGCGCAAAAUCCUACGAUGAAUCAUGCACACAUUGUUGACUGCUUUUGUUUACGUUUUGAAUUUUUGAAACUGACAGGUGAUACUGAAACCGGUGCGGACUUACGAAACACUUUCCGAAACACUGGUAUAUUAGCUUCUCCACUAAGAAAACAAAUCGAUUUUCGCUCCGUAAAUCAUGGAAUUUAAUUACACUCGCUGAACCCACUGACUUUCGUCGGGAAACACGAUAAAGAAGGACACAAUUUCAUACAACUUCGACAAGUUAAAUUGCCAGCACGCAGGCGCUACGUUUGUCACCCUCUGU